ACGAGCCUGACAGCUUGACUUGUCAGUGCUUCUCAGAAGAUGGAACGUGCAAACCAGAAUGACUGUUUUGUCUAGAUUGGUUGGAAAAGGGGGCAAAGGCCACCUGAUGCUUCAGAAUCUCUCGUACAAAAUCAAACAUGGAAGAAUCCAAACCUCUAAAAGGAACCACUUCGUGUUCAGUCAUUUUGUCUCCUCCUGCUCUGGUCUGUUAUGGGCUCCAAUUUUCCCUGACUUUGAGGGUAUCAAUCUUUGGGACCCCGACGGAAGACCUGAUGGCUCAUCACACCCUCUCCUGAUUGGCAGGUCUCCAACUUCAGCCCUCGCUCCUGCAGAAUGAUGAGAUGCUGUCGUAAGUUCUACUCAGCUUCUCAGCUGCCACUUUUUGAUAGCGUUUCAACCUGAAAACCUGAGUUAGCUAAUAUCUCAAAAGGAAAAAAAAAAAAAAAAAAAGCACACCAUAUAUCCGGUUCAGAUUCCUGGGCUCCCCUUCUCUCUGAGAUCUUGCUUCUAGAAAUCCUGUUUUGCUCUUUACUGCCAUUAAACCGUUUAAAAGAUAUAUAUUUUUGUCUUUUUUUUCCCCCCUAUCUAUUUUCAGCUAGAAGCUUGGUCUGGGCAAAAGCUAGUUCUCCAUUCCAAGAAGCAGAACUCAAGCCUGGGUUUUCAUAGGAAACCACAGGCUCCUGCUAGAGAAACUGGUGUUUCCUUACAGAGUCUGGUGGGCCCCCAGCCCAGCAGAGACCAGAGUGGGCUUGCCCCUCACAUGCCUCUUGUUUUAUUUCUAUUUUUAUUCAGUGUCUUUGUUUUCUAACUGCUUUCCACAAUUGAGUGCGCUGGUGGAAGUUACCUUUAGUACAAUUUUCCUUGUUACCUGCAGUUUAUCUUUCAGCUGGAGAAUCUUAUUUUAUUUUAUUUUUUGCUAAUAUAUGUUUUCCUAGAAAAUUGUCAAGGUUUUGAAAAAUCUUGAUGGAGGAUCAGACAUAAUAUUCACUUAUAAUUUUAUUUUUUAUUAAGUUUAUAAUUUUAAUUCCAGUAUAGUUAACAUACAGUGUUGUAUUAGUUUCAGAUGUACAAUGUACUGAUUUGACACUUCCAUGCAUGACCCGGGGCUCUUCACAAGUGUCCUCCUUAACCCCAUCACCUAUGUCACCUGUCCCCCUACCCAUCCACCCACCUCUCCUCUGGGACCCAUCUGUUUGUUCUCUAUAGUUAAAAGUCUGUUUCUUGUAUUAUCUCUCUCUCUCUCUUUUUUUUUCUUUCUUUUUUUUUUUUUUCUUAAGUUCUGUAUAUAAGUGAAGUCAUUUGGUAGUCUGGAAAACUUUAAUACAUGUGGGAAAAAUACAGAGAGCUAGUCCUUGGAACAGUUGCAAGGGAGAUAGAAGUGUGGGGGGUGUAUCUCAAAAAUGUUUUCCUCACUGUGCCGCAUUCCAUCAACCAGGGACCUUUCCAUGAUUGUGGUAUCUGCCUCUUGCCCUUUCCAUAGAUGUAGACUCAAAAAAAAAAAAAAAAAAAAAAAGCUCGGAGAUGCCUGAGUGGCUCAGUGGCUGGGCGGUCCACUCCUGAUCUCGGACUCCUGGGAUGGAGCCCUGAAACGAGCUCCAAGGUCAGCAGUGGGGGUUGCUUCGGAUUCUCUCUUCCUCUCCCUUUCCUUUUGCCCCCCUCCCUUCCUCACUAACAGGCGCCCUCUAGCUCUCUCAAAUAAGUAAAUAAAUCUUAAAAAAAAAAAAAAAAAAAAGUCUGACUCUUACUCUCCCUUUCACGAUGGUUCAGUUAUCAUGGUGUGCACCAGCUGUUCUAGCAUUGCCCCCUGGUGGUAUGGAGCCGUUAGCCCCUGAGUUGAACGGCCUGGAGAAUGCUGCCAUUUUGAACUCUGUCAGCGAAGGAGACAAAACGAUUAGAAGCAAAACAAGACUGCCACCUCUCCCACCUUGCUACAAUGAGUCUUUUCCUCUGGUCUCCCGCCCUAAACUCACCUGGAACUGGCGAAUUGUACCUGUGAAAACUGUUUCUGCACUAAGAAUCCGUAAGUAACAAGCAAGACUCCACUUUGGCUUCUCGGAUUUUAAAAAAUACUCUGGAGCUGGCUCAAGGUUGCGAAGGUAGGGGUGAUUUGGAGAAUUGGAUUUGCUGAAUUUCAAAAUGACGCGUGUAUUUUUCAGGGUAAGUUAACUGGGGAAACAAAUAAGCAGCACGUUUCACUAUACAAUAAAGUGUAUCUGUUGCUUGUGCAGUGUCCUAGCAAAGGUUUUUCUGGUCAGGGGACUCUCCUACAUGACUCGCCUCCUCCUGAUGUCACAGGAACUCAAGUUCCUUUUGUCAUGACUCC
ensembl:lincRNA